rnacentral:rRNA from 1 species
CCUACGGGAGACAGCAGUGGGGAAUAUUGCACAAUGGGCGAAACCCUGAUGCAGCCACGCCGCGUGAGUGAAGAAGGAAUUCGUUAUGUAAAGCUCCUUUUGUAGGGGAGAAAAUGACGGUACCUGAGUAAGAAUCCCCGGCUAACUACGUGCCAGCAGCCGCGGUAAUACGGAGGGGGCAAGCGUUAUCCGGAUUUACUGGGUGUAAAGGGAGCGUAGGCGGCAGUGAAAGUCUGGAGUGAAAGGCGGGGGCUCAACCCCCGGACUGCACUGGAAACUGUACGGCUGGAGUGCAGGAGAGGUAGGUGGAAUGCCUGGUGUAGCGGUGAAAUGCGUAGAUAUUAGGAAGAACACCAGUGGCGAAGGCAGCUUACUGGACUGUAACUGACGUUGAGGCUCGAAAGCGUGGGGAGCAAACAGGAUUAGAUACCCCUGUAGUC